rnacentral:rRNA from 1 species
UGGGGAAUAUUGGACAAUGGGCGCAAGCCUGAUCCAGCCAUGCCGCGUGAGUGAUGAAGGCCUUAGGGUUGUAAAGCUCUUUUACCAGGGAAGAUAAUGACGGUACCUGGAGAAUAAGCCCCGGCUAACUUCGUGCCAGCAGCCGCGGUAAUACGAAGGGGGCUAGCGUUGCUCGGAAUCACUGGGCGUAAAGCGCACGUAGGUGGGUCGUUAAGUCGGGGGUGAAAUCCUGGAGCUCAACUCCAGAACUGCCUUCGAUACUGGCGAUCUUGGAGUCCGGUAGGGGUGAGUGGAACUGCGAGUGUAGAGGUGAAAUUCGUAGAUAUUCGCAAGAACACCAGUGGCGAAGGCGGCUCACUGGCCCGGUACUGACACUGAGGUGCGAAAGCGUGGGGAGCAAACA